rnacentral:misc_RNA from 1 species
UUUCCGUAGGUGAACCUGCGGAAGGAUCAUUAUUGUAUAACCGAGGUGCGAGGGCUGUCGCUGACCGGACAGGUCGUGCACGCCCGAGUGCCCUCACACACAUCCAUCUCACCCCUAUGUGCACCACCGCGUGGGUCCCCCUUUGGCUUGUUCGGAGGGGGGCUUACGUUUUCACACAAACUUUGUAUGCAGUGUAGAAUGUAUUUUUUGUUUUUGCGAUCACGCAAUCAAUACAACUUUCAACAACGGAUCUCUUGGCUCUC